GGUUGAUCCUGCCAGUAGUCAUAUGCUUGUCCCAAAGAUUAAGCCAUGCAUGUCUAAGUAUAAAUCGUUAUACGGUGAAACUGCGAAUGGCUCAUUAUAUCAGUUAUAAUUUAUUUGAUGGUUUCUUUACUACUUGGAUAACCGUGGUAAUUCUAGAGCUAAUACAUGCAAAAAGCCCGACUCACGAAGGGCUGUAUUUAUUAGAUCAAAAACCAAUGCCUUCGGGCUCCUUGGUGAUUCAUAAUAACUUUGCGGAUCGCAUGGCCUUGUGCUGGCGACGCUUCAUUCAAAUU
rnacentral:rRNA from 1 species